CGUGACCUACGGGGCGCAGCAGUGGGGAAUAUUGGGCAAUGGGCGCAAGCCUGACCCAGCAACGCCGCGUGAAGGAAGAAGGCUUUCGGGUUGUAAACUUCUUUUCUCAGGGACGAAGCAAGUGACGGUACCUGAGGAAUAAGCCACGGCUAACUACGUGCCAGCAGCCGCGGUAAUACGUAGGUGGCAAGCGUUAUCCGGAUUUACUGGGUGUAAAGGGCGUGUAGGCGGGAAGCCAAGUCAGCUGUGAAAACUACGGGCUUAACUUGUAGACUGCAGUUGAAACUGGUUUUCUUGAGUGAAGU
rnacentral:rRNA from 1 species